AAAGAGUGAUCACCUUGCAAUGGCUUCUAUCACAGAGGAGGAGUUUGGGGUGACGAAGACCGGAGAACAUGUCAGCAGAUACCCCUUGAAGAAUAA